UGGGGAAUAUUGGACAAUGGGCGCAAGCCUGAUCCAGCCAUGCCGCGUGAGUGAUGAAGGCCCUAGGGUUGUAAAGCUCUUUUGUGCGGGAAGAUAAUGACGGUACCGCAAGAAUAAGCCCCGGCUAACUUCGUGCCAGCAGCCGCGGUAAUACGAAGGGGGCUAGCGUUGCUCGGAAUUACUGGGCGUAAAGGGUGCGUAGGCGGGUCUUUAAGUCAGAGGUGAAAUCCUGGAGCUCAACUCCAGAACUGCCUUUGAUACUGAGGUUCUUGAGUUCGGGAGAGGUGAGUGGAACUGCGAGUGUAGAGGUGAAAUUCGUAGAUAUUCGCAAGAACACCAGUGGCGAAGGCGGCUCACUGGCCCGUUACUAACGCUGAGGCACGAAAGCGUGGGGAGCAAACAGG
rnacentral:rRNA from 1 species